rnacentral:misc_RNA from 1 species
AACGCACCUUGCGCCCCUUGGCUAUUCCGAGGGGCAUGCCUGUUUGAGUAUCAUGAACACCUCAACUCUCAUGGUUUGCCAUGAUGAGCUUGGACUUUGGGGGUUUUGCUGGCCUGUGGUCGGCUCCCCUUAAAUGAAUCAGCUUUCCAGUGUUUGGUGGCGCCACAGUGUGAUAACUAUCUACGCUUGUGGCCGUCUGCCAGGUAACCUUCCACAAUGGGGGGUUUGCUGGAGCUCACAAAUGUCUCUCCUCAGCGAAGACAACUUUUUGAAAGUUCGAUCUCAAAUCAGGUAGGACUACCCGCUGAACUUAA